CACCUCCUGGGAUCGCGUCUGGAGAGUGCCUAGUAUUCUGCCAGCUUCGGAAAGGGAGGGAAAGCAAGCCUGGCAGAGGCACCCAUUCCAUUCCCAGCUUGCUCUGCUCGGUAGCUGGCGAUUGGAAGACACUCUGCAACAGUG